CUGGAAGAUGCGAGUACUGACAUCAGACUCCAUAGUGAGGUCCAGAAGUCCCAUGUUCGUAUGGUCAAGACUUCAGCACUUUGCUGUACCCAUCCCUGCUAUCCAUCCCGCCACCAUUAACCCAUGAGGACAGAAGACAGUGAUUCAACCCUGAUCACAUUAUGAAAUGGGCAUCUAAGUGAGCCAAGACGCAACGCGCCUCCUCCAGUUCCCCGGCACUUUGUGGGAAAUGUGGCUUUCAAAUGGAUGCAGGUCUGGAGCACACCGUGGCUGGGAGGCAGCUGGCACCAGCCCAGGCAUGAAUGCGUGCUACCCCUCUGGGCCCCACUUCUAGCAGGUCACCCGGGUCUGUGUUGUCACCUUGAAACGUUUGAGAGAGCUGUGAGCUUCAGAAGGAGCCACGGGUAGAUUAAGAAGGAGAAAAGGUGAGGGAAGCAAGUGGGAGAGAAAUUGAUGGAAAGACAGCGCUGCCCUUCUCUUCUCAAAUGGGAUGGGAUGUGGGGGGCCGGCAGAUGGGGAGAGAAAAGGCAAAGCUUGGCCUGCUGCCCCGCUGCUCUUUUCACUCAAAGGAAAAUCAGAUGCUAUGAAGAGAUGGAACCCACAAAGGCCAUCAGAUAUUCUCCUGUGGCGACUGUCUGUUUUAAACAAGGGUCACAGAAGAGAGGGUCCUUGGCCUCCAUCACUGGGUCUUGGACUGACCCCAGCCAUCAGGAACUGCGGAGGUUGCAGUGCCCUCUCUCCUGCUACUGACAACUGUGUUCUCCCAGCCUAGCUAUCUGCACUUG
rnacentral:lncRNA from 1 species